UACGGGGGGGGCAAGCGUUGUUCGGAAUUACUGGGCGUAAAGGGCUCGUAGGCGGCCAACUAAGUCGGACGUGAAAUCCCUCGGCUUAACCGGGGAACUGCGUCCGAUACUGGUGGGCUUGAAUCCGGGAGAGGGAUGCGGAAUUCCAGGUGUAGCGGUGAAAUGCGUAGAUAUCUGGAGGAACACCGGUGGCGAAGGCGGCAUCCUGGACCGGCAUUGACGCUGAGGCGCGAAAGCUAGGGGAGCAAACGGG
rnacentral:rRNA from 1 species